GGACAAGCUGUGAAAUGCCUAGAUUCCAGAGCAACAGACUGUGAUCCAUUCCCAACAACCCCUCCCUACCGUCUGCCACCAGUUCCCUUAAAGCAGGAAUCAGAGCUAGACUGACUCAACUAAGAAUUGUUUUGGAGAACUUGGAACUCAACAUUCCAUAAAGCAAGAAGCUUGACAUAGCAUCGAUGAGCCCAAGUCAACUAUAUGAACAAAACAAUGUCUCAGGAGGGGCAGGGUAUCACGUCAGAAGAAUCCUGAGUCCUUAGAUGACCUUGUAGAAAAGAGCCACAAACUUAC
rnacentral:lncRNA from 10 species